rfam:Tupaia chinensis contig77260, whole genome shotgun sequence.
GUGCUCAUCUCAGCAGUACCUAUACUAAAAUUGGAACGACACAGAGAAGAUCGGCAUGUCAUCCCCUGUGCAAGGAUGACAUGUAAAUUUGUGAAGUCUUCCAUAUUUUA